rnacentral:rRNA from 1 species
UACGAGAGCCUCGAGCGUUAUCCGGAAUUAUUGGGCGUAAAGGGUGCGUAGGUUGUUCUGUUAGUCUUUCGUCAAAUCCCGGGGCUUAACUUCGGAUCCGCGAAAGAAACGGCAGAACUUGAAAGUGCGAGAGGCGUACGGAACUCAUGGUGUAGGGGUGAAAUCCGUUGAUAUCAUGGGGAACACCAAAUGCGAAGGCAGUACGCUGGCGCAUAUUUGACACUGAAGCACGAAAGCGUGGGUAGCGAAUGGG